GGUUCAAUGGUCUAGUGGUUAUGAUUUCUGUCUUACACACAGAAGGUCCUGAGUUCGACCCUCAGUUGAACCA
rfam:Pisolithus tinctorius Marx 270 unplaced genomic scaffold scaffold_11, whole genome shotgun sequence.